AUAGAAAGAGCUAACCGGCCCCCCUUUCCUAACAACUACUAGCCCGGCUAGUCAGGAGCCACCACCUGGGUGGAGGCCAGCCCAGCUCGGUUCCUCACCAAAGGCUCUGCCCUUCAUCCUCCUCGCUGGGGAACUCGGCAGCCACGAGCCCGUCCGGCCCCAGCAGCUUCUUCUCCGCCAGCACCGGCGCCAUCUUGCCAACGGCAGCCACCACAAAGAGUGACCUCAUCCGCCCAGGCCCCGCCAGGAGGACCCCGCCCUUCCAACGCGCUGCAACGAGGACCUCGCUUAUCUGUGCCGCUGCCGGGUCGCCGUUUCCGUCUCGGAAUGGUUUGUCUGCGUCCCGCUCUUAUCAGCAAAUUUGUUGCCUCCAGAAUCAGCUUCUGUCUUGCUCCAAGAUGCUGUUUCAAGGCUGCUUUUCUGCCCGACAAGGGCACGAGAGGUUCGUCCUAGUCAGGCAGUACUCUGGGCUCCUAAGGUAGAGGCACCAUAUUCUGGACGAUGAGUUCAAGAUUUUUGGGGCCGCCGCCCAGUGUUUGUGCGAAACAGGGACCCCUAGUGCAGACAGAGAACAUUACAAGGUCUAUUGGCUACGCCCAGUUUGUAACCGAACACGGCAUAAUUGUAGGGGCAGGAUUGGUUGGGGGCGUGCAUGUUCACCAGUUUUGCAUCACUUCCUCACAACUGGAGUAGGUAGGGUGAUACUGGCACAGACAAGGGGUUGCGCAAAAGAUACUGAAUACCAGUGGGGAGAGUGCUGUUGCGCUCGUGUACUGUUCGCGGGCUUUCCAUAGGCAGUUGGUCGGCCCCUGUGAGAACAGGAUGGUGGACUAGAUGGAGCCUCUUCUUAGGCUCUUGCGCAAUGUGAAAAGCAAAACUGAGUCACAUCGUUUUACGAUAGAAGAGAUGCCAAUUCAAGCUUAUAUUACGUUUGUAAACUAUGCAAGCAAGCUUUUUAGGGCAGCUGUCAAAUUUUAAAUGCACUCGAUUUGCCCAUUUGAUGCAAUGAUUUAGAUGAGAACUCAAGGGUGGUGAUGAUUUGACCUUUUGACCCCGGGAACAAAACCAGCAAACAUCACAACUGUAGCAGACAUGUUUAUUAGGACUAUCCCUGCAUGCAUGCAGCAGUGUUUAUUAGGUCUCCGAGACCCAUAAAUGGCAGCUUCCAGCCUGGGAAAUGACUAGCAACAGUUCCGGAGCUUGAAACAUAAAGCCAAGACAUGUCACACGUGGCAGAAUACCAGCAGCUGAGGAACACUGAUGGCUUUGUGUCACCACCUUCAGGUUUACCUUCCAGGGGAUCCAGAAGGAGAGGAAAAGGAAGAGGAAGCUGACUUCCCUGCUCUUCUUUUCUGAGAAGACUUAUCAGCCAGUUGAUGGGAGAGAUCCAGAGUCUUCUUACCUAGUGCUGCUGUCAUAACCAGAGAGGGGGAAAGGAAUGAAGAGGUCCAGUAAAGAAGACAAGAGUAAGCAAACAAGACAGAAACUUUUUUUCAGAAAGAAUUAAUCAGAAGGGAACUGGCAAAAAGAAGACAUGGAACAGAGACUCUAAAGAAAUUCUAAAGAAGAAAAAAGGUGGUAGAAAAAUAAUAAUACAAGCAGCAAGAAAGAAUCUAAGGCAAAGAGCUGAAGAGGGAAAAACCUAGAGAACUGGUUGAACUGCUGAAACUUAGUCACAUGUCCCUGCCUGGCCUAAGUGAUAGGGGAUUAACCCAUCUGGAUGCCUCAUGGAGGAUCUGCAAUGGCUAUGUUCUACAUUGUUGGCAGCAGUAUGCCUCUGAAUACCAGUUGCUAGGAACUGCUAGUGGGGAGACUGCUCUUGCACUCAGGUCCUGCAUGUCAGCUUCCCAUAGGUAUUUUAUAAGCUGGACUUAUAAAAUGCUGAACUAGAUGGGGCUUUGGCUUCAUCCAGCAGGACUCUUCUUAUGUUCUUAGAUGUACUGUUCCUUGAAUGCUAACUAUGGGCCCCGAAUGAGAGCAAGACUUCUAUAUAACAUCUAGUUAAUUUGGUUAAUGCUAUUUAUUUAAAACAUAAGAGCAUUAGAAGACCCUGCUGGACCACAUCAGUAUAAAACAAGGUUUCUCACUAGAGAUUACUAGUCAUAUGAACUUUAAUUUUCUUCUUCCAGAAGUUUAUCUUCUAGAAGAUUCUAGUUCUAGAAGAUUUAUAUUCUUCAUAAAACAGCCAAGAUGCAUCCAUGUCAUUAUAGCUACUGACAAGAGCAUAAAAUCUGGCUUUUUUAUAUUUCAUGUAUUUUUCAAAUAAAAGUUGGCAACAACGAGAAACUAUGAAGGAGACAAAGCAGCCAAAACUAUCUAUGUGUACUAAUAUACUUAGAAUGCAUUAUUUAUGUGGAUUUUAGUCAAUUAAUGCUAGAUUAUUCAGAUUUACUUUUCCAUUAACAACAUAUGUUUCCAUGAAUUCAACUCAAAACAAAACAUUGAUCAAUAUAAUCUCUCAAAGGAGGACCAUACUUUCCAUGGCAUGGCAUGGCAGACCAUUUGCUAUUGUACAAUGGUGUUUCUCCCAGCACAUAAAAGCAUGGACAAUGUACUUUUGUCUUUCAACACCUAUGUAAGCAUAUCUGAGAAAUUCUGAGCCAGCCUAAAAUGUUUAUAGUAGUGUUUAGAGAGCCAGAUAUGUUGCCUAUAAUUUACUUGUUUGUUAGAAGAAACACCAGUAGCAAUUGCAACAGCUAAGUAAAAUGCUAUCCACAGUCUGGAAUCAUUCCAAGAUUCUUAUGCUAGGUCUGAAAUAUGAAUUUUAUAUCCCUUUGUUAAUGGCAUUUAUACAUAUGAAUAUUCAUACUACUCCCUCCUUGAAUUUUACAUGCAAUAUGUCUAGCAGUUCAAAAUAUCAUUUGCUAAUGUGAUUUACAGUCAUGAUUUAAAGGUAUCAAUUUAACUUUGUAUGUAGGAUUCUUGAUACAGUACCUUGCUCGAACUUCAGACUUGCUAGAUUCACAAAUAGAGCUAUUAUCUGUAACAUGGAUUUUGUUUAUCUUGGCUGUUCUCAUUUUAUCAGCUGCAUGAAGAAGGUGAUUAUGUUCAUUUUGACUGAGUAAUGUAUCAGUUGGAUACUCUGAAUAAUCUUUUACGGAUUUAAUAGCAAUCAUCUUAGUAGAUACAGAAUUUAGUAGGGGUUGGUUCACUUUUGUACAUAUCAUGCCAUGAUUAGAAUUUUGCUUGCUUGCAUUUUCUUGAAUAUGUUUUGGUGUAGUCUGCAGAAUCUCUUCUUCAGGAAUAUUGUCAACAAUUAAUAUUUGUCUUCGCACUUUUUCCUGUGUUUAAAAAUACAGCAUUUGAAGGACAUACAAAUACAAAGGAAAUAAACAUGUCAUCUUUUAUUAAAAGUUAAAGGUUAGACCGUUCAAGUGGGUGAAGAGAGUUAGACAGACAAAAUGUGCAAGCUGUUUGCUAGUUUGAAACCUAGUUGUAAUAGGCAUACUUUGUGGACUAGAAGGAAAACAACAUUCAUAACCUUCUUAUUGAUCUUGUUCCUAGCUAUAAAAGUAACAGGAAGGCCAAUAAAACUAUGCUAAAAAAACAAACAACAAAACCUUAAAAAGUU